rnacentral:lncRNA from 1 species
CAAUACUUACACACACUCUAACCAGAGAUUUUUUGAACUCAAUCUUACAAAUCACAUAAGACUACUCCUCAUCUAUCGAGGUCGAUAGAUCCCAUCUAAAUACACCUACUCAAACAGCGAAUCUGAACCUACUAUAGCUAAUAUACACAGCAAGGAUCUGAAUGGCUCGGAACCAAAAGAACGUAUGGUCAAAUUAGAGUAGCCUCGCUAUGAAUAACUGAUACACCGC